rnacentral:rRNA from 1 species
UCAGGAUGAACGCUGGCGGCGUGCCUAACACAUGCAAGUCGAACGAAGCUCCUGCGACAGAUUCUUUCGGGAUGAAGAUGCUUGAGACUUAGUGGCGGACGGGUGAGUAACGCGUGGGUAACCUGCCCUGUACUGGGGGACAACAGUUAGAAAUGACUGCUAAUACCGCAUAAGCCUACAGAGUUGCAUGACUCAGCAGGAAAAAUUCCGGUGGUACAGGAUGGGCCCGCGUUUGAUUAGCUAGUUGGUGAGGUAAUGGCUCACCAAGGCGACGAUCAGUAGCCGGCUUGAGAGAGUGAACGGCCACAUUGGGACUGAGACACGGCCCAAACUCCUACGGGAGGCAGCAGUGGGGAAUAUUGCACAAUGGGGGAAACCCUGAUGCAGCAACGCCGCGUGAGUGAAGAAGUAUUUCGGUAUGUAAAGCUCUAUCAGCAGGGAAGAAAAUGACGGUACCUGACUAAGAAGCACCGGCUAAAUACGUGCCAGCAGCCGCGGUAAUACGUAUGGUGCAAGCGUUAUCCGGAUUUACUGGGUGUAAAGGGAGCGCAGGCGGUCUGGC